UCCAGGACUACAAAUCUUCCUAAAACCUAAUAUUUAUCGCUGGUAUCAUCUAUGUAUGAAGGGGUGAAAGGAGACAAAAUAAAACAGAGAGAAAUAAAUCAGAUUUUUUUUUUAUCAAUUCUUCAUUAUCUGCUGUUUCUUUUAUUGAACUAUAGAUUGUUUUAUCAGAUUUAUCCUAUUUAUUGUGAAAGUGAUUUGAUUUCUAGGAUUUAGUAUUAUAUUGGCGAGAUUUGAAUAUUUUUCUUAGAACUUUUGAUUGAUUUGAAAAAGCAGAUAACCCUCUCAUUGCAUGUUCAGAAUCUCUUUGUCAAGAAAAGAUUUAGGCAGAGACAAAAAUUAAGCUGAGAUGUAACAUACCUAGAGUGCAGUUUUCAUGGCUCUCAACCAUGUAUUGUGAAAGGAAUCAUCAAAGAUUUGACCUUUUAAACUAUGCCAAUAACUCAGAGAAAGAUAAUUAAUGUGACCAUACUGUGUAAAGUCUGUUAAAGAUCAUUGAUUAAUCAGAUUUUUAUUAACAAUGAUACUUGUUCUGACUUCAAAUCUGUGUGUCUCUUUGCUUAGGAAAAAAACCCUUCAAGAAACAAUUAUUUUUUCUUUCAACCAAAUACAGGGAAAGAGAAUUCAUGUGACCAUACUGUGUAAAGUCUGUUAAAGAUCAUGGAUUCAUCAGAUUUUUAUUAAAAAUUGUAAUGUUUUUCACCAAAGACUAUGUUCUGCUCCUCCCAUCUUUGAAUUUGGGUAUCCCGUGAAUUUGCUGUUUUCAGAUAUCUGAUUAACAAUGAUGCUUGAUGAAAAUAUACACUUACAAACGUGAUUUAGGAGGUGUAAAGGUCACAAUCAGAGAGAAAUGAAGGAAUUUGCUCUGCUAUUUGCUGAAUUAUCAUCUCUCUUGCACAUAGAAAUCCAUGAUUUAACUCAUACCAUUCAUAUCACCUGGCUCAUCAAUGAGUAUGAGUUGCUAUAGUGUGUAAGAAUUGUCUGCAGUGUAAGUGUUCAUGGCUGAGUUAAUAUUGUGUUGGUAAAUGAUUUUUGAGAGGCAUAUAUAUACACAAUAUCAAUGGAGGAAGGAAGCAUAUAGAAAAUGUCUCACAGAAGUUAUGCUAUAUGUAUCAUUUUUUAUUAAAGCAUGUUCAAGAUUGGAUCAAGUGAUGAUUAUGUUAUUUUUGCCGUGGUUAAUGAUUCUCAUACCAUUUUUGGUUGUUUAUAACUAUAAAUAAA
rnacentral:lncRNA from 1 species